UCAUGCUACGUCCCUGGGAGAUUUGUCAGUUUGGGAAGACUGAGAACAAUGAGCCUGCCUCGGAUCUGGACAGACCUCAUUAGCUGUGAGGAUUAGACACAAUACCUAGCACACGCACAGCUAACCAACCUACAGGAGCAGGGGCUUCUGUGGAGAGGGAUCCCAGGAUACUUUUAAUGAGGCCACUCAAACUGGAGGUUGGAUUGCUGUUCGACACUCCAAAGCUGGCUGACCCUACAGAAAGUGCCAUCCUAAUAACUUGUUCAUGUUUAAGCACAGACUAAAAGAGCUCAAAGGCUUCUACAGCUUCAGGGGAGUUGCACUGACACUCAGAGGACCACAAAAAUAUGGUCUUUUCAAUAUACAGCUAGCAAGUUGAAGAAGAAGUCAACGAUUAACAAGGUUUUCACAGUUCGGUACAGCCAGAACUUUCUCCAGUGUGCACUGUGGAUCUCAGCUCUUUAUGGUUACUGUGAGAUUUACAGAACCACAUGAAGCCAUGAAAUGUUUCAGUCAGGUAUCCCCUUUUGGCCACUGCUGGAGAAACGAUACUGGGCUACACAGACAGUUGAUCUGACCCAGUACAAUCACUCUCAUGUUUUCUGUGUAAGUACUAAACUUCCUAUUCCAAUAACAGCAACAACAAAUCUACUCAGUUUUGUAGGUAUUUCCAUUUUCCUGGCCUAAGGAAAUGUAACUGCUAGUUAAAAAAGGAAAAUCACAGAGCAGUAUUUCAGAAGCCUAAAAGACCCUAAAAAGCCUGUAGCUUUAUCUGAGCAAGCUGUUAAGAUGCUUUAAUCCAGACAACAACCCCCAAUACCAACUAUUAUUUGGA